rnacentral:tRNA from 1 species
AGUGUCGUAGAUAAGUGUUACUUCGCACUUGUAAUGCCCGGUCGUGGGUUCGAGUCCCACCGUCUCUACAA